AAGGAUUAAUUACGGAACAUCUUCUUUCGAAGAUGAAGGGUUAACGUGACAUAUUGUAUUCAGUUUUGAAUGCUCAUUGGAGUAUUCAAAUUGUACAUUGAAAACUAGAUAAGUAAGUAAAAUAGAUUUUACCAAGCAAAACCGAGUGAAUUAGAGUUUUAAAGCUUGAAUUCAAAAAAAUGUAAUCGCUAGUGUUCGAAAGAACACUCACAGAUUAAUAACUA
rnacentral:misc_RNA from 1 species